AUCUGAGCAAUUCUGCUGCAUCAGAUUUCAGGAGAGCUUCACUGGCCUGAAGAAAAUGCCACCAGGAUUUUUACUUCUAGAUUUCUAGAGAACUUGACAUUUCUAUAGUUCCUUGCAAGAUCCCUGGAGCUGCUUCAUGUGAAAUAUCACCCAAUCUCUCCUGAGACUAUUCAUGUCAACUGCGGCAGUCUCUCUGAUAGGUGUACACAUAAACAGCAGGAAAGAGAAAAGAUGUGGAAUCCCAAAUAUGGAUGAAUCUGUUUUUCUUCCGCUGCUGAUGGUGGAACUGCAAAUACUGAAGGAUGUGUUUGUGAAAAUGCUACUGCAAGUGUGAGAAUCAGAACAUUCCUGCCUACCUAGCAGAACUACGUAGGAAACGUUGGUAAUUAUCAAUGUUGAACAAAAUUAUCUUGUAAAAUAAGCAUGCAUGGACACGUACUUUAAGAAUUAAAAUCAGAAUAUUUCAUUAUAAUGUGAAAUUGUUUAUUUGUCUAGACUCGUGUUUUGAAACUGAGCAAAAAGGCAGUGUAAAAAUGAGUACUAUUAGUUCAUUACAGACAAAUUUUCUAUUUAUACUGAACAGCAAAUAUUUACUAUCGCUAAUAAGAUGGGAAUUGAUCUUGACAAAUCAAAGAGCUAAAAAUGGUUAGAAUUUAUCUUAAUUAUAGCAAAUAGCUGUGGAGUUGUUUUUGGUUUUGUGGGUUUCCACACUUUUCUACUAUUUUAAACUAGUUUUGAUGCUAAAAUAAAUAGUUGUCAUAAAAGUCUAUUCCA
ensembl:lncRNA